rnacentral:rRNA from 1 species
UACGGAGGGAGCUAGCGUUGUUCGGAAUUACUGGGCGUAAAGCGCACGUAGGCGGAUUUGUAAGUCAGGGGUGAAAUCCCGGGGCUCAACCUCGGAACUGCCUUUGAUACUGCAAAUCUCGAGUCCGAUAGAGGUGGGUGGAAUUCCUAGUGUAGAGGUGAAAUUCGUAGAUAUUAGGAAGAACACCGGUGGCGAAGGCGGCCCACUGGAUCGGUACUGACGCUGAGGUGCGAAAGCGUGGGGAGCAAACAGG